GAUGAACGCUGGCGGCGUGCCUAAUACAUGCAAGUCGAGCGAACGGACGAGAAGCUUGCUUCUCUGAUGUUAGCGGCGGGCGGGUGAGUAACACGUGGAUAACCUACCUAUAAGACUGGGAUAACUUCGGGAAACCGGAGCUAAUACCGGAUAAUAUUUUGAACCGCAUGGUUCAAAAGUGAAAGACGGUCUUGCUGUCACUUAUAGAUGGAUCCGCGCUGCAUUAGCUAGUUGGUAAGGUAACGGCUUACCAAGGCAACGAUGCAUAGCCGACCUGAGAGGGUGAUCGGCCACACUGGAACUGAGACACGGUCCAGACUCCUACGGGAGGCAGCAGUAGGGAAUCUUCCGCAAUGGGCGAAAGCCUGACGGAGCAACGCCGCGUGAGUGAUGAAGGUCUUCGGAUCGUAAAACUCCGUUAUUAGGGAAGAACAUAUGUGUAAGUAACUGUGCACAUCUUGACGGUACCUAAUCAGAAAGCCACGGCUAACUACGUG
rnacentral:rRNA from 1 species